rnacentral:rRNA from 1 species
GACGAACGCUGGCGGCGUGCUUAACACAUGCAAGUCGAACGGUGAAGCGCCUUCCUUUUUGGUUGGUGUGGAUGAGUGGCGAACGGGUGAGUAACACGUGAGUAACCUGCCCCCUUCUUCUGGAUAACCGCAUGAAAGUGUGGCUAAUACGGGAUAUUCUGGGUCUGUCGCAUGAUGGGUCUGGGACAGAUAUUGUUUCGUUGGGGGAUGGGCUCGCGGCCUAUCAGCUUGUUGGUGGUGUGUUUGCCUACCAAGGCGGUGACGUGUCGCCGACCUGAGAGGGUGGACGGUCACACUGGGAGUGAGACGCGGCGCAGACUCCAAGAGGAGGCAGCAGUGGAGAAUAGUGCACAAUGAGCGCAAGCCUGAUGCAGCGGCGCCGGGUGAGGGAUGGAGGACUUCGGGUUGUGAACCUCUUUCGCCAGUGAAGCAGGCCUGCCUCGUUUGUGGGUGGGUUGACGGUAGCUGGAUAAGAAGCGCCGGCUAACUACGUG